CAGCACUAUUCUGGGCACGGCGCCCCGCGCGGGGCACUCCUCGGCCCGCAUCUGCUUGCGGAGAUUGGCCUCGACGAAGAGGGGCUCGGCGGAGGCUGCGGAGGGGAGCGGCGAGAAGGAGAUGAGCAUCGCGUGGGAGGAGGAGAAGAAUUGAAGAUCGACGCGGAGAUGAGGAGUAGGAGAAGCAGCAGGCGAAGACGAGCACCACGAGCUCGUUCCCCUCCAACAGUGAGCGCUCCUCUAGCUCUGCUUGCAACAACCUCACAGAAGGAGGUAGGUGCCGCGCCCAACCCGUUGCUGGUUAAUCAGCUGAAGUUGCUGCUGCCCUACCCCGCAUGGCACCCCAGGGGUGGAGAGCGACGAGGAGAUACGGCGGGUGCCGGAGAUGGGCGGCGCGUCGGCGUUGGCCUCGUCGGGCGCCGGUCCCGGACAGCAUCGCUCCUGCUACUGCCGCAGGCAUACUGGGAGCCAGGCAUGCGCAGUUCGCUCAACUCUUCUUUUCGGAUCUCCUCCUCAGCAACAUGCGGCGAAGCCUGGUGUUGGGUGGCAUCCGCCAGUACCCAGGCGAUCACCAUGCCGCUCCCGCGCCACAAAUCCCCACCGACGUGAAGACUGGCAGCGAAACGCCCCGCUCUCCAUCACAUGUGACCAAGAAGGGCGACGGAGUCAAGCCACCGGGUAUAAGGCUCUUCGGGCAGGAGAUACUGACCGAGGAGCAGAUGAAAGGCAGCCACGAUGGGAAAGCGACCAACACCACCUCUGGUCGCUCUAGAGCGCCCGAGUUCGGGCUGGAGCCCGGGCAGUGAAGAGUUCUGCACCAAUUAAUUCCAAACAUUUUUCAGAAGACAUAAACAUUAGCACAUAAAUAGGUUUAAUUACUUAAUGGUGCAUAUUUCACGUGGUAUAAUCGAAUUCAAUAUAUUGUACAUUGGCAAUAUUAACGAGCAUUAGUGAAAGG
rnacentral:misc_RNA from 1 species